UGCAGUCGAGCGACGCAUGCCGGAGGGGUAACCCACUGGUAUGACGGAGCGGCGAACGGGUGAGUAACACGUGAGCAACCUGCCCCACAGACCGGAACAGCCCAGGGAAACCUGGAUUAAUGCCGGAUGACCUCAUCGGACCACAUGGCCUGAUGAGGAAAUGCCUUUGUGCUGUGGGAUGGGCUCGCGGCUUAUCAGCUAGUUGGUGGGGUAACGGCCUACCAAGGCGUCGACGAGUAGCUGGUCUGAGAGGACGAUCAGCCACACUGGGACUGAGAUACGGCCCAGACUCCUACGGGAGGCAGCAGCAGGGAAUCUUGCGCAAUGGGCGAAAGCCUGACGCAGCAACGCCGCGUGGGGGAUGACGGCCUUCGGGUUGUAAACCCCUUUCAGGAGGGAAGAAAUUGACGGUACCUCCAAAAGAAGCACCGGCCAACUACGUGCCAGCAGCCGCGGUAAUACGUAGGGUGCGAGCGUUAUCCGGAAUCAUUGGGCGUAAAGAGCUCGUAGGCGGUUCAGCAAGUCGGCUGUGAAAGUCCGAGGCUCAACCUCGGAACUGCAGUCGAUACUGCUGUGACUCGAGUCCGGUAGAGGAGAAUGGAAUUCCCGGUGUAGCGGU
rnacentral:rRNA from 1 species